GACAGAGGUGGCAAACGUUAUCCGGAAUUAUUGGGCGUAAAGGGUGCGUAGGUGGUUCAAUAAGUUACUGGUGGCAAAUCGGGGCCCAACCCCGUGGAAGUCAGUAAUACUAUUAAACUAGAGGAUCGGAGAGGUUAAUGGAAUUCUAUGUGUAGCGGUAAAAUGCUCAAAUAUAUAGAGGAACACCAAACGGCGAAGGCAGUUAACUAUUCGGUUCCUGACAUUGAGGCACGAAAGCGUGGGGAGCAAGACGG
rnacentral:rRNA from 1 species